CUUAUUUAGAGCGAGGAAGGGACGGGCCCUGUGAACUCGCGGCAACCACGAAGGAUUCUUUGAAGGUGCCAAUUCCCGCGGCAAUAUGUAAUUUGUGCCGGCAGAUGAGG
rnacentral:ncRNA from 1 species